rnacentral:rRNA from 1 species
GAUGAACGCUGGCGGCGUGCCUAAUACAUGCAAGUCGAGCGAACAGACGAGGAGCUUGCUCCUCUGACGUUAGCGGCGGACGGGUGAGUAACACGUGGAUAACCUACCUAUAAGACUGGGAUAACUUCGGGAAACCGGAGCUAAUACCGGAUAACAUGUUGAACCGCACGGUUCAACAGUGAAAGACGGUCUUGCUGUCACUUAUAGAUGGAUCCGCGCCACAUUAGCUAGUUGGUAAGGUAACGGCUUACCAAGGCAACGAUGCGUAGCCGACCUGAGAGGGUGAUCGGCCACACUGGAACUGAGACACGGUCCAGACUCCUACGGGAGGCAGCAGUAGGGAAUCUUCCGCAAUGGGCGAAAGCCUGACGGAGCAACGCCGCGUGAGUGAAGAAGGUCUUCGGAUCGUAAAACUCUGUUAUUAGGGAAGAACAAAUGUGUAAGUAACUAUGCACGUCUUGACGGUACCUAAUCAGAAAGCCACGGCUAACUACGUG